UGUUGGUUCUGUUUAUUGUAAUAACGCUGGCAACAACAUUCCGAUUGAAAUUAACACAGGUUGUGUUCCUUGUUAACUUUUAUGAUAAGUAUAUUCAAUAACAUGCUCCAUAUCUUUAUUUGUGCUGUUGUUUUUGUUUAGUUCCAAUUAUUCAGAUACAUCAAUUGAUUUGAUUAUUGGGUAAAAAUGAAACUAUUUAAGUUCAAAAAGAGGUCGCAAAUGUAAUGGUCUGGUAGGAUUAUAUAUAGGUAAGGCCACAUAGUGUGUCACUCCAGGUUGUUUUGAUAGCAGAGUUAGAUCACUCUUCCUCAUGUUUUUACGAACACCUUGCUUUAGUUUUAUUGUUUAUAAGAUAUAACACCUUAUUUGGUAAUACAUGUUUUACAAGUUUGUGUAUUAGUUCCAAGCGUAUAAUUCAACAAACGAUUAAUAACAAUUAAAUGCCGUUUUCCUUAUAAUUCAGCUAGAUGGUUGUGUGCGAUAUAUGACGUGGUAUGAUAAUGAGCGGAUAAAAAUUUAUGCGAACAUAUCUUUAAACUAUUCAGGUAUUCCAAUUGUGAAUUAAGAAUGAAACAUCAAAAAUCGAUACAUUACGGAAAUAUAUAUUCUAUUCAUCUAUGAAACAGCUAUAGAGACUUGUCUUGUAAACUUUUUUCGAAACAUGUUUGUGUUUUGCAUAUAUUACAUCUCGUUUGCUGGAUAUUGAAUAAACAGUUUAUAUGUUAUUGUUGUAUACAAUUAAAAAAAAAAAUUGAAUUAAAACAUUUUGAGUUAUUAUAUUUUUCAUAAUAAUUUAAGACGUUAAGUUUUCCCUGCAAGGUUGGUGUCAAUAAUGGUGCAUGCAUAUGUGCUAAUUAAUUUACGAUAUUUUGGAUAAACUGUGGUAUAAAUUUGGUUUGAAAAGAGCGUUGACAAUAAGACUGUUGUUUUAAACGUAGAUGAAAGGCAUUUGUCGGUUUUGUUAAAUUUAGUUUCGUCAUAGUUAAAUGCAUUUUUAAAGAUUAGGUACUGUAAUGAUAACAAAAGUAGACCGGAUUUAUUUGCAAUAUAAGUCAUUUUGUUUUCGUGAUAGUUUUUGUUCUUGUUUGGUGGCCUGUUGGCUUGAUGUGUAAAGACAUUUUGCUUUUAUGGUGUUUGGCCGUUUUUUGAAUGCCAGUUAACAUGUGUAAUUUGCUUAUCGUUUUGGUGAAAGCCAGUUGACCAGAUGUGGAUAAACCCAGUUAGCGCGUGUAGUUUGUUAAUCAAAUGUGUUAAAACGUGCGUUUACAUUUACAUUUUUGUUUUUAUUUAAUGUUAAGAUUGUACUGUUCGAAGGAUAUUAUAUAUAUUGGAGAGCAUUAAAUGUAUGUUAUUAAGGGCCAGAUUGGCUUAUGUAAAUUAACCGGUUGGCUCGGGUUGUCCGUUGACAGUUUGUUGAAAGCAGAUUUUUUUCAGAUGCGUAUAAGCCAGUUUGCUUGCGUGUCAGUUCACAAAAAUGUCUCAAAACACAUGUUGAAAUUGCAUUUACACAUGUUUGCGAAGUUUAUUUUUUCAGAAGCUGGACAGUUCGAAGAAUAAAUAAUGAAUAGUGUAACAUUAUAGUAAGAGGGCAGCUCGAAAGUGCAGUAACUGGACAGUACGAAUGGUAUAUUAAGUAUUGGAGAACAUAAAGGUAUGGUUUAUGUAGUAUGUUAUUAUUAUUAUAAGGAUUAUGAUUAUGAUAUUUUUUAUUUCCGUUUAAAUGUUUUUCAUUAAUUUUGUAAAUAUUGUUUUAUUAUAUCUGUUUAAUUCUCUUGUGCAUUAUUCGAUUGGUCAUUUGACCGUUUGUGAAGGCCAGAGUGUGCCUGAUGUUGAUUAGCCGUUUGGCUUGUGUGGUCAUUUGACCGUUUGUGAAGGCCAGAGUGUGCCUGAUGUUGAUUAGCCGUUUGGCUUGUGUGGUCAUUUGACCGUUUGUGAAGGCCAGAGUGUGCCUGAUGUUGAUAAGCCAGUUGGCUUGUGUGGUCAGUUGACCGUUGUUGAAGGCCAUAGUGUGCCUAUUUUGAUUGAAUUAGUUUUAUUGCUUUUACAAAUGUUUAUAAUUGUAUCUUUUCAGUUAAAACACAGUUCGAGAGGUAUAUAACGUGGUGGAGAAUAUUUAGGUAUUCAUUUUAUGUUUUAUAUUAUUUGUAUUCUCUCUUUGUUUUAUUCGAAAGUCCUGUCAAAUACAAGCACUCACUCCUAUUUUGUCUUUGGUUUAUUAUUUGUUUGAUAAUGAUAAUGAUGAUGAUAUGGGUUAUAAAGAUGAUGAGAUUUUAAUAGUAUUUUGAGAAUAGAGAAUAAUAAAUUUACUCAUAACUAUGAGUAAAUGAAAUUAUUCUCGGUUUGAUAAAUACGGUAUAGUAUGGUUUAAUACGUGUUAUUUAGAAGAGAGAUUAUGGUAAUGGUUUAGCGCGUAUAAUGCACUGGUUUUGUGUGCAUGUUUUAGCUCGAAAGCGCACGAGUUUUUCGUUUUGGGGUAUAUAUGAUUUGCACAUCUAGUGAGACGCCAUUCGAGGGUUGUUUUUGACAGGCAAAGUUAUGGAGCAAGAAAACGAAAGGGUGAUAACCCCGCCCGCCCUUAAUGAACAUCUGUAUUGUUAAAUAAUUGGUUACAUUGCUUUUAUGUUUAUAAUUUUGCAAUUAUAAAGUCUAUAUUUAGUAUAUUUUCAGUUCGGUUUUUAGUCCAUGUGAGAUGGGAUCUUAACACAAACCGAUUCCUUUACUGGGAAAGACGAUGGGUUUAUUUUCAUUUAAGUCUGAAGCAGCUAAGUUUUCUUGAUUAUUUUGACUCAUUUUUUACUUAAUAUUGUGUUUGAAUGAGGUUUUUUAAGUUAUGGGUGUCAUGUUUUUCGAGACUCUCACUUCCUGGAGAUAGUACCUCCAGCAUAUUUAUUGAAAUAUUGGUAUGUUUAAAUUUCAGUGUUAUUAUUUUUUGUUGUCUUUCGUAAUGAACGUUUAAUUUUAAAGACAUUUUUAUUGUACGAUUACUUAAUAUUUUCAUUUUGGUGUGACUGGUUAGAUGUUGAAGUCGGUUUAAUAUAGCUGUUCGUCAUAUGCAUUUAUAUAUUUCUCGGAAUACUUAUGAUUUAUCAACAUUCUUUUUAGGUGCUUUAUGGAUUUUAUGGUUUGAGUGAUUUGUUUGUUUUUAUGUUGAUGUCCGGGGUGUGUGCGGGAUGCUUUUGAUGUUUGUUUGUUAUGUUAAUUUGCGCAAUGAAAUUGAUAAUGUUUUAAUUACAUUUUUUACUAAAUAAUACUUAAUGUUUACAGUAUAAUAAUAGCUGCUUAUUUGUAGAUUUCUCUAAAAUUAGAGGUUUCGGGAGGUGAUGAAGGCACCUAGACACCGGUCUUGAGCCAUGGGUCCUCAUACGUCCCCCUGCCAUUAAAAGAAAAAAUAAGAAAACAAAAAUGGCAGUAGGGUUGCGUAUCCCGCUCGCGGUUUUACCUGAAUCGUUUAUUACUACUGAUUAUUGUAUGGGGUGUACGUGAAGUCAUGUACACUUCUCUUGAUUGGUGGUGAUGGAUGAAUCUUGCAGAUAUUAGCAGCUUCUUUGAACAAAUUAAUGUUUCACAAUUGUUAAUUUAUAAUAUUUAAGCAAGUUAGCGUGAUUGAUGGGCAUUGUGGGCGUCCUGUGUGCACUUUGGUAACUCUUUAUUUGAGAUAUAUACAUGACGUCUAAUUGUUAUGAAUAAAUUUGCAUAUUUUCACAUGACACACAUGUGCAUGUGAAGAAUUCAUAAUUACAUGCCCUACAGCAUUUAAAUAGUAUCGUUUCAGUUCUUUAUACACCUGAACAAAGAUGUUACACUGUUUCCAGUCGUCUCGAGGCUCAUCAAUUGAGCGGUGCCGUUGAGGUCUAUAUCCAUUGCACAUACAACACAUACGGGCGUCAGAAGAAUUGUUUUUUGCAUUUAUAUGUUGAAAGUCCUGUCAAAUACAAGCACUCACUCCUA